UAUGUGUAUGUGUCUAUAUAUAUAAUUUUAUAUAUAAAUCUAGCUAUAAUUUCGGCUAUUGUUGGCGCUGCAGCGUGCAGAAAUUGUUGUUGACAACGAACACACACAUAUACACACAAAUAUGUCAUCUGGUCAGCCAUGCCCCCACCCCUCUAACCAAGCCUCUCCCCCACCCUUCACAUACACACCCGCACAUUUCUUGUAGCUAUAUAUAUAUAUAUAAACACGUAUAUAUAACAUAUACUUCGUAUGUAUUGUUGAACGCGUUUGUACAAAGUGAAACCGAACGAAAGAAACAGAUAGCGAACAAGAGAAACAAAGGAUAUCCUUAAGGCGCGCGUUCUAUAUUUAAAUGCUAAACUAACACACCCACACCCACACACAAACAUAUAUAUACACAACUAACUAUAUAUAUAUACAUAUAUAUGCAUAUAUAUACAAUUUGUAACUUUUUUGGAAUGAAAUUUUAAAUGUUUAAACUUACAUUCGUAGCUUAAGGAUACGUUAGUGCAAUAGCUUUUAGAGAGAAACAGAGAGAAAAAGUGUAAGAGAGAAGCGAGAGUGCAAUAAGUGCAUUGUACAUACAUCUUAAUAUGUAUAAAGCAAUUAGAGAUGCCAUCAGAUAUGUCCAUGGCUAACCAAAAACACAAAGCAUCAAUAUCGUGUGUGAGAUGAGAAAAAAAGAUUAGAUGGAAAAUGUAACGAAACGCACCGACACACAAAUAAAACAAACAAACAAAACAACAA